GGUCGCGUGGCUCAAUUGGCAGAGCAUCGUGCUAAUAGGUAUAUUAGCUUAUCGUAACGCGAGGGUUGUGAGUUCGAGUCUCACCGUGACCA